UGCUUACAAUGAUGUGCUGGUUAAAAAAUGAGCUGAUCCGAUUUUACUGGCCUUAUUUGACUUUAUUUCUCUGUUUUGGUCUCCUCAUUUAUCCUUUUCCUUACAGAUCAAAUAGAUAUUAAAUGAAGAGCUCAAAAUUAUUUUAAAAAACAAUGUUGAAUCCAAAUUGCAGAUAUCUAUUCAGUAAAUCAUGCUAAGUAGAUAAGAUUCUUAUUUCUUCUUAUUUACCUAAAAAAAACCCCAAAAGCUGGUUGUGUUUUGGCUUCAGAAAGCGAGAUCUUGUAGUUGAGACAGGAUAGAAAUAGCCUUUAAAAGCUAAAUGAAAUGAAUAGUCUUGCAAAGGGAAAAAAAGAGGAAUUUUUCAUGAGUCCCUGGAAACCAGCAAAAAAGCAUCAAAACUGUUGUUUUCAGUAAUAAUUGUGAUUACUUGGUUAAAAUACCCCGUACGAGAAGCUUUCGAUGUUUUUUGUGCCUCUACAAGGAAAAUUAAAACAGAACACACAGCAUUGGGGCCAAUUUGUUUCCAAGGAAGUCAAUUAUUAAUACUGUAUUUAGUAUUUAAUGAACUAAGCCGAUGUAUGUGAAACGCUGCAGAGAUCUCCUUACCAGCGGAGAACAGGUGUUGAUAGAAGCUUUGCCCGUAUGUUUACCAGCUGAUUAGUACCCAUUAAAAUGAUAAUAAUCUAAUAAAAAUUACUUUAUGUCUAGUGAAAGUUGAAAGUCCCCUGUGUAUUGGAGAAUGAUUUUUUUUCUAUUGCAUGGCAGUGAUAGGAUUGAAGUGACAAGAAUCCACCCCCAAAGCAGCGUGAAUGUUCUGAAUUUCUAUGCCUUAGACUUUUCACUUCAAGUGUCCCUUUCUCCAAAGGUUGACUCUGGCAGUCAGGACACUUCACUGUUUUUCAUGGCUUCAAGGGAAGGACAGUUACCAACCCACCAAAAUCCUCUGGCAAUAGGAAAAGGAAUCAGAUCCUUAGUAAACGACACUACCUUGUCCAUCUUAGGAGACCAGAGGAGAAACUAUGGGUGUCCUGAAGGACUGUUCUGGGCUUUGGUUGUCCCAGACAGCCCCGAGCAGUUGCUAAGGAAACUCUGAGCCAUCUGUGAGCUGGCAGUUUCCUGGGAAACCCUUGAUUUCAGGCUAGCCGUAGUCAAAAUUGUUAUGAAUGUGAGGUCACAUCAUCCCCAGCCUCACACUUCUGACCCCUUCUCUUCAUGACGUGCUCCACUCAUUCUGUCUCAGCUGAGCCUUGCACACUUUACUCUUGCUCUUCUACCAAAAGCUGAACUCAGGAAAUUUUCAGGAAUUUGGUUAUACGGUAGGGUAGAGACUGAAAACUAAGGGUUAUUUGCGUUGUAACAGCAUCAAAUUCCUCCAACUGAUUAAGGGUCUCCUGGAGGAAAUUGGGGCAUUUGGCCAAGUACAGGUGACACAUUCGCCUGCCUCAUUUACCUGUAGCUUCCAGGACCCGGAUUACUACACAAUGGAGUCCCAGAAGAUACUGAGCUGGUACCGAAUUAACAGUUCUUAGAAUGAACUUCCGCUUGAUCUCAGGAUAGCAGCCUAAGCAGAAGGAGGAGGAAAUCUGGGGCAAAUGAUUACAAUAGCAGGAACUAGGUGAUGGAAUAGGGACCCAGGGUUUUCCAGAAACCAAGAGUAAUUCUAAAAGGCAAGACCUUAAGGGACAUCCUCUUCUUUGGCCGUCAAAGCAACCGGAGCUGUCACUGGGAUUAGCAGACAGAGGAUCAUGAUGAUUGGGAUUGCGGUGCUUGAGACUGAUGUGGGGUGCACCCAGCAAGAAGAUACCAAGUAACCCCAGAUGGAGGAUGAAAGAGAAGAGAAAUGUCACUCCUAGCAUGAUUGAUCAAAAUGUGUUUUAUUAUUGGUAUUGGCGGUGAAUCAAACAUGCGACUUCACACACACAACGUAUUCUUUGGAGUACUGCUUCAGGUUCUUGCCCUAUAAACAAAGAACGUCUGUUAAAUUCUACAUCAAACAAUUUCCAUCAACAAGUAAAAGGAUGGGGGCUGCCCUGUGGCCGAGUGGUUAAGUUUGCCGUGCUACACUCUGGCAGUCCUGGGCUCACUGCUUUGGAUCCUGGGCACACACCUAGCACCACUCAUCAAGCCAUGGUGAGGCGGCGUCCCACAUAGAAGAACUAGAAGGACGCACAGCUAGGAUACACACCCAUGUACUAGGGGGCUUUGGGGAGGAAAAAAAGGAAGAUUGGCAACAGAUGCCAGCUCAGGGCCAAUCUUAAAAACAAAAUGUCAAUGAAUGUCUGGCAUGUUUAUAAUUGUAUUCACUGAAUUUUGAACAUAUUCCUAAAAGGAGAAAACAAUUUUUUUGACUAAGGAAUAGUGAGAACCAAAUAUUCCACUUAGAAUUUUGCAUGUCUGAUAAUUGGAAGUGUCUUCCACAGAUUAGCUCCGUGCUCCAUGUAUUUCAAGUCUUAUCCAUCUGCCAUGACUCACAUUUGUCUUAUCCAGGACACACUUAUAUCAAGAUGGGCUGCACAUUUAUAUCACAUCACAACAACACAUGAUUUGGCAUAGUGGGCUGUAGGAAUGUUCUGGAAAUUUCUUCCUAUACUGGGACAGGUAGGAAUAAUUUAAACUUAACAUAAAUGACCAAAAAAAAAAAAAAACCAUAAAUAUAUCCCACUAAACCCAACUUAAAUAUAUCCCUAACUCAACUUUUCCUUAGCUCUAUUCCCAAAGUUUCUGUUGACCUCCAGGCCACAAAGUGGAAGGGAAGUACUGAGGGGAAUUUGCAGUGAAAGAGCAGUGGUCUUCACAGAUCAUGAUUAAUGCAGUUUGCUUUGGCAAAGUUUACAAAAACAUAUCACACGACCUUGGGGACAAAUUGCUGGGGUAACCCUCCGAGCCUAGAAAGAGCUCGUGGAAGAGAGAGACCCUGAUGCAAAUGCCAUCGCAGGUUAUGACUAGAUCUGCCUCUGGCAUGUUUCAUUUGCUCUGCUGUAGACUGCCACCGUAUAGAAGAAACAAACUCCUGUGCCCGUUUCUUAGCUGAUACGAUACCCAGCAGGAUGUCCCCUCCCUUCCAACAGUGUUAAAUGCUUUCUCCAGAGAGUUCCUUUAAAGAGUCUGAAAUUCCCAGACAAAGAAGAACCACUGGGUCAUGAGAGCAAGAGUAGCUUCACUCCCCUGCUACAACGUCCACAUGAGCUCUCAAGAUCCAUUUGUACAUAAUCUGCUUAGGGUUAAAAUCCUGGCUCAGGCAUUUACUACCUGUACAAUGUUGACCAAGCUACUUUAACGUACCUGAGCCUUACCUCCUCAUCUGUAAAAUACGCACUGUUAUAUCUACACCAUAGCAAUGAUUGCUAUGAGGAGUACAGGAAAUAAAUGAUGUUAAGUACCAAGCGUAAUGCCUGGUUCAUAGUGGGUGCUCAGUAAGUGGCAGCUAUGGUUGUCCUAAUCCUCAUGGUUACUUUUUAUUUGUCAUAGACUCCCAAUUGAUUUAUUCAGAAACGUAGACUGUGAGCUCCGAAAGUGGAACCUAUCAGUUGAUUCAUCUUUGUAUCCGCUAUGCAUAGCACAGUGUCCGUUACAUACAGUAGGGGCUUAGUGAAUAUUAUGGAACUGAAUUGGCA
rnacentral:lncRNA from 1 species